UACCCACAAAAGAAAAAGUCUUUGUUCUUGAAUCCACUGGGGGAAUCAAAACAAGACAUCCAGAAAUGCUUGCAAAUCACAAGGUAUGGUUAAAAAUUUAAGUUUAACUCAAGUAUGAAAAUCAAAUAAAGUUGUUCUUAUUAAUAUAUCUAUAUUUACAGGGCAUUUAUGAGGAAGAAGGGGUGCAAUGUCUCACGUUGGACAUGUGACACAGUCAAGCAUCCAAAACAACAAGAUAGUACAUCAUGUGGUGUAUUUUCACUGAAGUUUGCAGAAAAAAUCCUAUCAAAAGAGGUUGUGGAUUUUCCUGUUUCCAGAGAGGCGGUCGACAGCAUGAGGUUGGAAAUUGCUGUGAGACUUAUCCUUAACAGUGAGGACCUAAAAGACUUGUGUCACUUCUGUGGAGAGAUGGAAAGUGACACGGAUGUGAACUGGGUAGGAAAGUUUUUAGAAUUAUUCAAAGACUUAGUGUUAGUAAACUAAAUGAAGAGGACAAGUUUCAUCUAAUCUUAUCUUGCGUAAACAAGCUAUGAUAUGAUCCUCCAGCAGUUGGAAUAUAAGGGAAUCUAAAAUGAUUGAUUAUAUAUUGUAAUUGUAAAGAAAUAUUUUUCUAAAAAAAACUGAUAUUUUUGGUUUCUUUCCUAGAUCCAGUGUGACAUGUGUCUGAGGUGGUUCCAUCAUGCAUGUGUGGGAAGUCCAACAACUG